AGAGUUUGAUCCUGGCUCAGGACGAACGCUGGCGGCGUGCCUAAUACAUGCAAGUCGAACGCUUUUUCUUUCACCGGAGCUUGCUCCACCGAAAGAAAAGGAGUGGCGAACGGGUGAGUAACACGUGGGUAACCUGCCCAUCAGAAGGGGAUAACACUUGGAAACAGGUGCUAAUACCGUAUAACAAUCGAAACCGCAUGGUUUCGGUUUGAAAGGCGCUUUUGCGUCACUGAUGGAUGGACCCGCGGUGCAUUAGCUAGUUGGUGAGGUAACGGCUCACCAAGGCAACGAUGCAUAGCCGACCUGAGAGGGUGAUCGGCCACAUUGGGACUGAGACACGGCCCAAACUCCUACGGGAGGCAGCAGUAGGGAAUCUUCGGCAAUGGACGAAAGUCUGACCGAGCAACGCCGCGUGAGUGAAGAAGGUUUUCGGAUCGUAAAACUCUGUUGUUAGAGAAGAACAAGGAUGAGAGUAAAAUGUUCAUCCCUUGACGGUAUCUAACCAGAAAGCCACGGCUAACUACGUGCCAGCAGCCGCGGUAAUACGUAGGUGGCAAGCGUUGUCCGGAUUUAUUGGGCGUAAAGCGAGCGCAGGCGGUUUCUUAAGUCUGAUGUGAAAGCCCCCGGCUCAACCGGGGAGGGUCAUUGGAAACUGGGAAACUUGAGUGCAGAAGAGGAGAGUGGAAUUCCAUGUGUAGCGGUGAAAUGCGUAGAGAUUAGGAAGAACACCAGUGGCGAAGGCGCUUCUCUGGACUGUAACUGACGCUGAGGCUCGAAAGCGUGGGGAGCAAACAGGAUUAGGUACCCUGGUAGUCCACGCCGUAAACGAUGAAUACUAGGUGUAGGGGUUGUCAUGACCUCUGUGCCGCCGCUAACGCAUUAAGUAUUCCGCCUGGGGAGUACGGUCGCAAGAUUAAAACUCAAAGGAAUUGACGGGGGCCCGCACAAGCAGCGGAGCAUGUGGUUUAAUUCGAAGCAACGCGAAGAACCUUACCUAGACUUGACAUCUCCUGAAUUACCCGUAACUGGGGAAGUCGCUUCGGCGACAGGAAGACAGGUGGUGCAUGGUUGUCGUUAGCUCGUGUCGUGAGAUGUUGGGUUAAGUCCCGCAACGAGCGCAACCCUUAUUGUUAGUUGCUACCAUUUAGUUGAGCACUCUAGCGAGACUGCCCGGGUUAACCGGGAGGAAGGUGGGGAUGACGUCAAAUCAUCAUGCCCCUUAUGUCUAGGGCUACACACGUGCUACAAUGGCAAGUACAAAGAGAAGCAAGACCGCGAGGUGGAGCAAAACUCAAAAACUUGUCUCAGUUCGGAUUGUAGGCUGAAACUCGCCUACAUGAAGCUGGAGUUGCUAGUAAUCGCGAAUCAGCAUGUCGCGGUGAAUACGUUCCCGGGCCUUGCACUCACCGCCCGUCA
rnacentral:rRNA from 1 species